AAAGCGGGACCAGUAACAGGGAGAAUGAGAUCGUGGAAGGGAGCUUGGCUCCCGGAUGUUAGCGGCGGACGGGUGAGUAACACGUGGGUAACCUGCCUGUAAGACUGGGAUAACUCCGGGAAACCGGAGCUAAUACCGGAUAGUUCCUUGAACCGCAUGGUUCAAGGAUGAAAGACGGUUUCGGCUGUCACUUACAGAUGGACCCGCGGCGCAUUAGCUAGUUGGUGGGGUAAUGGCUCACCAAGGCGACGAUGCGUAGCCGACCUGAGAGGGUGAUCGGCCACACUGGGACUGAGACACGGCCCAGACUCCUACGGGAGGCAGCAGUAGGGAAUCUUCCGCAAUGGACGAAAGUCUGACGGAGCAACGCCGCGUGAGUGAUGAAUGUUUUCGGAUCGUAAAGCUCUGUUGUUAGGGAAGAACAAGUGCGAGAGUAACUGCUCGCACCUUGACGGUACCUAACCAGAAAGCCACGGCUAACUACGUGCCAGCAGCCGCGGUAAUACGUAGGUGGCAAGCGUUGUCCGGAAUUAUUGGGCGUAAAGGGCUCGCAGGCGGUUUCUUAAGUCUGAUGUGAAAGCCCCCGGCUCAACCGGGGAGGGUCAUUGGAAACUGGGAAACUUGAGUGCAGAAGAGGAGAGUGGAAUUCCACGUGUAGCGGUGAAAUGCGUAGAGAUGUGGAGGAACACCAGUGGCGAAGGGCGACUCUCUGGUUCUGUAACUGACGCUGAGGAGCGAAAAGCGUGGGGGAGCGAACAGGAUUAGAUACCCUGGUAGUCCCACGCCGUAAACGAUGAGUGCUAAGUGUUAGGGGGUUUCCGCCCCUUAGUGCUGCAGCUAACGCAUUAAGCACUCAGCCUGGGGAGUACGGUCGCAAGACUGAAACUCAAAGGAAUUGACGGGGGCCCGCACAAGCGGUGGAGCAUGUGGUUUAAUUUGAAGCAACGCGAAGAACCUUACCAGGUCUUGACAUCCUCUGACAACCCUAGAGAUAGGGCUUUCCCUUCGGGGACAGAGUGACAGGUGGUGCAUGGUUGUCGUCAGCUCGUGUCGUGAGAUGUUGGGUUAAGUCCCGCAACGAGCGCAACCCUUGAUCUUAGUUGCCAGCAUUCAGUUGGGCACUCUAAGGUGACUGCCGGUGACAAACCGGAGGAAGGUGGGGAUGACGUCAAAUCAUCAUGCCCCUUAUGACCUGGGCUACACACGUGCUACAAUGGACAGAACAAAGGGCUGCAAGACCGCAAGGUUUAGCCAAUCCCAUAAAUCUGUUCUCAGUUCGGAUCGCAGUCUGCAACUCGACUUGCGUGAAGCUGGAAUCGCUAGUAAUCGCGGAUCAGCAUGCCGCGGUGAAUACGUUCCCGGGCCUUGUACACACCGCCCCUCACACCACCCCCCUUGUCAACACCCUGCUCUCGGUGAGCCCCCCGUUGCACCGGCUCCCCCCAUGCCCCCCCCG
rnacentral:rRNA from 2 species